GUUCUGGGGACAAUUCGGGAAAUUAACUCUUGUAUUGUUUUAGUAGAGGUUUUACAGCGCUCGCAACUACAUAUGGUCAUAUGAGCCCCAGAAGAGUAGAGGUGUUACAAGAGAGUAACAAACAUAAAAAAGAAGAAGGGGGAGAUAAGGACGAUAGAUGUUUGAUAGGAAAGAAGCCCAUAUCGUUGUUACAAAAAAGGACGUACUGUAUAAUAACACGGAUAGCUCGAAUACGUGCGGACCGGCCUCUGAAGUUUGAGGAAUUCAGUGGACGACAUUGGUCGACAUAUCUUACAAAGAACUGGAUCGAUAACAACAUCUUACAAAGACAAAGAAGGAAGAAAAUGAACGGGACUGCAGGCACAAUUCGACUGAUGUGUAACUUCAGGUCUUUUGUGUUCGACCUAUCCGUAUUAUACUGUAUGUCACAGAACGAGAGAAAAAAGUUCUAUCUUCCAGUCUUAUUUAUAGACAAAAAAGGACAUAUUUCUUGGGUCUUAUUCAUAACAAAGAAAAAGGAAACAUUAAACCUGUCUUAUUGAAAGACGAACAAUACAUUCCCUUUAUCCAUGGUGAAUAAUACAUUUCUCCUUUUAUCCCUUGAGAAAAAUAAAUUUCACGUCUUAUUCACAGAGAAAAAAUACAUUUCCCCUCUUAUUCCUAGAGAAAAAUACAUUUCCCGUCUUAUUCACAGCGAAGAAUACAUUUCUACUCUUUUUCAGAGUGAAAAAUACCUCCUAUGUCACAUUCAUAAAAAGAAAAAGGAAAUAAUUAUUUCUCCUCUUAUUCAUAAAGAAAAAUAAAACAUUUUUCCUGUUUUAUAAAGAAAAGGGUAGAGUAGCUUGACCCCCUCGCAGCCACUGCUGGUGUGCGGCCAGUUCUCAUAACUCGCAUUCCAGUUGCUGUAAGGCUUUGAAUAAACCACUGUAGCUUCUCUUGGGUCUGCCAAUGCGUUCACUUUCAUUUCCGGUCUUUCCCGCUGUUCCGACACACGUGAUGCGAGUUUGAACUUUUCAACCCAGAAAACAUCCCUUUGUGAAAUUUCAGGUGACUUUUUCAUUAGCUCUUACCACAACCUAAAUAUUAUUAUUUUGUCAAGUAAGUGUGGUUUCUGUGUUUUAAAAUGCAUGUUUUUAAGCCUAACAUUGUAUAAAUAUCGCUCAAAUGUAAACUUUCAGAGAAACGUCGAUGGACGCAGCCAGGGCAGGGUAAUUUCUCAUGUGGGCCCACAUGCGGUCGAAUCGGCCGCACCGAGGACAGGCCUUACAGUAGAGGUCCUGGCCGCGGCCAGAGUCCAAAAUGAUAGAUAGCCCUGGUCAAAUAAAGGCAACGGUCUUGAGAUAGAAUCUAGACUUUGUUCUUGAUAGAGGUAGGCUGUUUGCAAAGCUUUUUGUUCACUUAAUAAAGCUAGAUCUAGAUCUACUGGUAACGAAACAAUACGAUAUUUUCAAGCAUGGCACCGAUCUCAGUGGCCUAGUGGUAUGGCGUCCUUUUCGGGAAUGGAAGAUCGUGGGUUCAAUUCCCGACCAGGUCAUACCUAAGACUAAAAAAACUGGCAAUCUAGAUCUAGUAGCUGUCCCACCUGGCGUCGGCAUUAUGGGACGAGUGCUAUGACGGGUUGGCCCGUGAAAGGAAACAAAUCCAAGAAGAGGUUGAGCGAUUCAGACAAUGACACAAGUGCAGGUAUCAAUGUAAGUGAAAUGAUACUGUGUGAUGAAGAUGACCUGCAGUUGGAAGAUUUCAUGGAAGAAGAAUGUUCGACUGAGGAAUCCACCAUGUUUGCUGAAGUGGGGGUUGUGGAAAGACAUGAAACUCCACAGAGAUGACACAUGGACAAUGAAACGCUUGAACUUGAUGAAGGAUCAAGAGUCGGACCACAGACGGAAAGAAAUAGAAACAGUGUUGCUGCUGACAAUGAAGGCAUAGGAAACAAAAGACAAGUGGUUGAAGCAGAAGAAACAGAAAGAGAAGACAUGCUUGAGAGUGACGGAGAUGGGAACAAAAUACCAGUCGUUGGACUUGGAGUAGAAAGAGAAUAACAUGCUAUGCGUGAGAUGAAUGAAGAAGAGGUGGAGGACUGCAACAUGGUCGGAACUGGAAACGAAAUGCAAGCAUUGGCAGAAGCGGAAAGAAGGCCAGACACUGUGAAUGAGGAGAGUGGGGAUUCACUGGUCAGCAUGACGGUGGAGAUUGUACCUUGAGACCAGAGACGUGAGACUUGUCUGUUCUGCUCUUAUCAAGAGUAGACGUAAUCUAGAUCUAGAUCUACCACCCUUGCACUUUUUUGCAUAGAUCUACGCUGUCAUUGAUUUCCAUUUUGUUUGCAUGCUCUGAUCAAAAGUAGAUUGAAUCGCAUCUAAGUUGUAAGUACCAUUCUUUAAUUUUGAACGUUCCCGUUUGCAUUCUGUGUCACUGAUUUCCAUUUCGUUUGCAUGCUCUGAUCAAGAGUCUGUUGAAUCUCAUUAAAGUUGAAUGUAGGCCUACCAUA
rnacentral:lncRNA from 1 species